CCUACGGGAGGCAGCAGUGGGGAAUAUUGCACAAUGGGCGAAAGCCUGAUGCAGCGACGCCGCGUGAGGGAUGACGGCCUUCGGGUUGUAAACCUCUUUCAGCAGGGAAGAAGCGCAAGUGACGGUACCUGCAGAAGAAGCACCGGCUAACUACGUGCCAGCAGCCGCGGUAAUACGUAGGGUGCGAGCGUUGUCCGGAAUUAUUGGGCGUAAAGAGCUCGUAGGCGGUCUGUCACGUCGGAUGUGAAAGCCCGGGGCUUAACCCCGGGUCUGCAUUCGAUACGGGCAGACUAGAGUGUGGUAGGGGAGAUCGGAAUUCCUGGUGUAGCGGUGAAAUGCGCAGAUAUCAGGAGGAACACCGGUGGCGAAGGCGGAUCUCUGGGCCAUUACUGACGCUGAGGAGCGAAAGCGUGGGGAGCGAACAGGAUUAGAUACCCUGGUAGUCCACGCCGUAAACGUUGGGAACUAGGUGUUGGCGACAUUCCACGUCGUCGGUGCCGCAGCUAACGCAUUAAGUUCCCCGCUGGGAGUACGGCCGCAAGGCUAAACUCAAAGGAUUGACGG
rnacentral:rRNA from 1 species